rnacentral:rRNA from 1 species
CAUGGGCGAAAGCCCUGAAUGCAGCGGACGCCGCGUGAGGGAUGACGGCCUUCGGGUUGUAAACCUCUUUCAGCAGGGAAGAAGCGAAAGUGACGGUACCUGCAGAAGAAGCGCCGGCUAACUACGUGCCAGCAGCCGCGGUAAUACGUAGGGCGCAAGCGUUGUCCGGAAUUAUUGGGCGUAAAGAGCUCGUAGGCGGCUUGUCACGUCGGAUGUGAAAGCCCGAGGCUUAACCUCGGGUCUGCAUUCGAUACGGGCUAGCUAGAGUGUGGUAGGGGAGAUCGGAAUUCCUGGUGUAGCGGUGAAAUGCGCAGAUAUCAGGAGGAACACCGGUGGCGAAGGCGGAUCUCUGGGCCAUUACUGACGCUGAGGAGCGAAAGCGUGGGGAGCGAACAGGAUUAGAUACCCUGGUAGUCCACGCCGUAAACGUUGGGAACUAGGUGUUGGCGACAUUCCACGUCGUCGGUGCCGCAGCUAACGCAUUAAGUUCCCCGCCUGGGGAGUACGGCCGCAAGGCUAAAACUCAAAGGAAUUGA